GACGAGGGGUCCUAGCGUUGUUCGGAAUCACUGGGCGUAAAGCGCAUGUAGGCGGCUUGGUAAGUCAGUUGUGAAAGCCCUGGGCUCAACCCAGGAAGUGCAUCUGAUACUGCUGAGCUUGAAUAUGAGAGAGGGUAGUAGAAUUCCUGGUGUAGUGGUGAAAUACGUAGAUAUCAGGAGGAAUACCGGUGGCGAAGGCGGCUACCUGGCUCAAUAUUGACGCUGAGAUGCGAAAGCGUGGGGAUCAAACAGG
rnacentral:rRNA from 1 species